rnacentral:rRNA from 1 species
UGGGGAAUAUUGCACAAUGGGGGAAACCCUGAUGCAGCGACGCCGCGUGAACGAAGAAGGUAUUCGUAUCGUAAAGUUCUGUCCUAUGGGAAGAUAAUGACAGUACCAUAGAAGAAAGCUCCGGCUAAAUACGUGCCAGCAGCCGCGGUAAUACGUAUGGAGCGAGCGUUGUCCGGAAUUAUUGGGCGUAAAGGGUACGCAGGCGGUUUAAUAAGUCGAAUGUUAAAGAUCGGGGCUCAACCCCGCAAAGCAUUGGAAACUGAUAAACUUGAGUAGUGGAGAGGAAAGUGGAAUUCCUAGUGUAGUGGUGAAAUACGUAGAUAUUAGGAGGAAUACCAGUAGCGAAGGCGACUUUCUGGACACAAACUAACGCUGAGGUACGAAAGCGUGGGGAGCAAACAGG